CAAGGACGGAAAUCAUGCCAUA
rnacentral:misc_RNA from 1 species